rnacentral:misc_RNA from 1 species
GAUGAAGAACGCAGCGAAAUGCGAUAAGUAAUGUGAAUUGCAGAAUUCAGUGAAUCAUCGAAUCUUUGAACGCACAUUGCGCCCGCCAGUAUUCUGGCGGGCAUGCCUGUUCGAGCGUCAUUACAACCCUCAGGCCCCCGGGCCUGGCGUUGGGGAUCGGCGGAGCCCCCCGUGGGCACACGCCGUCCCCCAAAUGCAGUGGCGGUCCCGCCGCAGCUUCCAUCGCGUAGUAGCUAACACCUCGCGACUGGAGAGCGGCGCGGCCACGCCGUAAAACACCCAACUCUUCUGAAGUUGACCUCGAAUCACGUAGGAAUACCCGCUGAACUUAAGCAUAUCAAUAAGCGGAGGA